rnacentral:lncRNA from 10 species
AACCAGAGGUUUUCUGUAAAGAAAACGAAAAGGACACCAUGUGUGUUGUGAUCUUUGUGUCAGAAGACCCAUGGAGCAUGCUUCCUACAGUGUGCUGAUGCUGAACAGCCAGUAUGAUUUGGUUUCUGCUUCUCAUGCAUCGAGACAGGAAGAGUUGGUCCUGUGAAGAAACCUGUGGUGAGGAAGACAAAACCACAGUCAACAUGAAUUCCAAGUGGUAACACUUAGUGUCCUGGGAUGGAGUGCUGAGAGAAAUCCGGAGGAUUCAGGUGAGAAAACAUUAAGAUGAUAGUAAUUUGUAGUAUAUAUAACUUAGAUUGGCAUUUGUAGCCUUUAUCUGUAUAUCUACUUUUGUUUCCUAUAAUUCUGUAAAGUGUUCUAUUAUUCUAUUAUUAUUUUUUAUAGAAAAGCCAAAUGAAGCUCAGGCAGGUUAUAUGACUUAGAUAAAAUUUGUUGGUUCAUGAAUAAUGAAGCUGAGUCUUCGAUUCCAGAAGCUGUACAUUUCUUCUUUUGAAGAAUAA